AUGAACGCUGGCGGCGUGCCUAAUACAUGCAAGUCGAGCGAACAGACGAGGAGCUUGCUCCUCUGACGUUAGCGGCGGACGGGUGAGUAACACGUGGAUAACCUACCUAUAAGACUGGGAUAACUUCGGGAAACCGGAGCUAAUACCGGAUAAUAUAUUGAACCGCAUGGUUCAAUAGUGAAAGACGGUUUUGCUGUCACUUAUAGAUGGAUCCGCGCCGCAUUAGCUAGUUGGUAAGGUAACGGCUUACCAAGGCAACGAUGCGUAGCCGACCUGAGAGGGUGACCGGCCACACUGGAACUGAGACACGGUCCAGACUCCUACGGGAGGCAGCAGUAGGGAAUCUUCCGCAAUGGGCGAAAGCCUGACGGAGCAACGCCGCGUGAGUGAUGAAGGUCUUCGGAUCGUAAAACUCUGUUAUUAGGGAAGAACAAAUGUGUAAGUAACUAUGCACGUCUUGACGGUACCUAAUCAGAAAGCCACGGCUAACUACGUG
rnacentral:rRNA from 1 species